CCACUUGAGACGCAGUCUCGCUUUGUCACCCAGGCUAUAGUACAGUGGCGCCAUCUCAGCUCAUUGCAACCUCCACCUCCCGGGUUCAAGUGAUUCUCCUGCCUCAGCCUCCCAAGUAGCUGGGACUACAGGCGCACGCCACCAGGUCCAGCUAAUUUUUUUUGUAUUUUUAGUAAAGACGAGGUUUCACUACCUUGGCCAGGCUGGUCUCUAACUUCUGACCUUGUGAUCCGCAUUGACAUGAUACUAUGGUAUAUGUCCAACUGUAGGGUCCAGCCUUACGGGGCUUAGCGGGUGUUCUCCCCGUGUUCAGAGACGAGAGAUUGUAAUAAAUAAAGACACAAGACAGAGAGAUAAAGAGAAAACAGCUAGGCCCGGCGGACCGCUACCGUAAAGAUGCGGAGACCGGUAGUGGCCCCGAACGGCUGGGCUCGCUGAUAUUUAUUGCAUACAAGACAAGGGGGCAGGGUAAGGAGGGUGAAUCUUUUAAGUGAUUGACAAGAUGAAGCAAGUCACGUGAUUACAGGAUGGCGGGGGCCUUCUCUUUUAGGUAGCUGAAGCAGAGAGAGAAGGCAGCAUACGUCAGCAUUUUCUUCUCUGCACUUACAAGAAAGAUCAAAGACUUUAAGACUUUCACUGUUUCUUCUACCGCUAUCUACUACGAGCUUCAAAGAGGAACCAGGAGUAUGGGAGGAGCAUGAAAGUGGACAAGGAACGUGACCAUUGAAGCACAGCACCACAGGGAGGGAUUUAGGCCCCAGGACUGCAGGCAGGCCUGGAUAAUAUCCAGCCUUCCACAAGAAGCUGGUGGAGCAGUGUUCCCUGACUCCUCCAAGGAAAGGAGACUCCCUUUCACGGUCUGCUAAGUAACGGGUGCCUUCCCAGACACUGGCGUUACCGCUUGACCAAGGAGCCCUCAAGCGGCCCUUACGCGGGCGUGACCGAAGGCUCACCUCUUGUCUUCUAGGUCACUUCUCACAAUGUCCCUUCAGCACCUGACCCUAUACCCGCUGGUUAUUCCUAGGUUAUAUUAGUAAUGCAACAAAGAGUAAUAUUAAAAGCUAAUGAUUAAUCAUGUUUAUAAUAAUGAUUGAUAAUUGUCCAUGAUCAUCUCUAUAUCUAAUUUGUAUUAUGACUAUUCUUAUUCUAACUAUUUUCUUUAUUAUACUGAAACAGUUUGUGCCUUCAGUCUCUUGCCUCGGCACCUAGGUAAUCCUCCACCCACAUCCUACUCUUGGACAACAGGAAAAUUAGAAAAGAUAAUGGAGAGCUUUUUCAGAAUGUUGAAUUUAGGAGUUGUGUGUGCUUUUGAUCUCCAUGUCAAUCCAUAAACAAUAAAUCCUGUUCUUAAAUUUGAAUUUUCUGCCUAAAAAAGAAUUGGAGAUGUUAAUAGAUUAAAAUAUAUGCUGCUGGUUUAAGCAUUUUACGGUAUUUUAGGCCAUGAAAUAUAAAUAAGAAUAAUACAGAUUUCAAGGCCGGGCGCAGUGGCUCACGGCCUGUCACCUCAGCACUUUGGGAAGCUGAGGCAGGCAGAUCACCUGCAGUCGGGAGUUCAAGACCAGCCUGACCAACAUGGAGAAACCCUGUCCCUACUAAAAAUACAAAAUUAGCUGGGUGUGGUGGCACACGCCCACAAUCCCAGCUACUUGGUAGCCUGAGGCAGGAGAAUCGCUUGAACCUGGGAGGCAGAGGUUGCAGUGAGCCGAGAUUGCGCUAUUGCACUUUAGCCUGGGCAGCAAGAGUGUAACUCCAUCUCAAAAAAAAAAAAAAAAAGGAAUACAGAUUUCAGGAAAUUUAGAAUUUAGCAUAGUACCUCAAAUGUAAAAAGGAAAUGUAUAAAGCUGUGUUAUAUGAAUAAAUUAAAUGAAUGAAUCAUUUAUAGGCCUGUGAGCCAUAGGAGAGCCAAAAAUCAUGGCAUACACUUCUCAAAUAAUGGCCCUUCACCAUUUUUCAAAACCUUUACUUGGAUAAACCUGUACUUGCUGUGGUAGUUUUUAUUGGUAUGCGUUUCAAAUGCUCACAUGGCAUCAUUUAAUAUUUUUUUUGUAACAAACAGAACCAGUUUUUCUUUUCAUGCUGUUGUCAACAAUUAAGCCUAGAUAAACAGCUGUGAAAAUAUAGGUAGUUAUUUAAGUUCAUGAAAAGGUACAUAGUUAUUUUUUAAGGGAGGUGGGGAGUGGCAUCUAGGGAGAAUACCAGAAGACAAACUGAUAUUUUAUUCUUAUUUUGCGUAUAUGUAUCUUUAGGUAAACUCUGAGGUAAGAUUGCUGUUUUUAAGUUAAAUAGUACCAUCCAAAUUUUAUUUAAUUAAAUUAAUUUAUUUAUUUAAGACAGGGUCU
rnacentral:lncRNA from 1 species